UACGUAGGAGACGAGCGUUGUCCGGAGUUACUGGGCGUAAAGGGUGCGCAGGUGGCGGCGCGCGUGGGGGGUGAAAUCGCCCGGCUUAACUGGGCGGGGGCCUUCCAGACGGCGUGGCUUGAGCAGCGGAGGGGGACGUGGAAUUCCGGGUGGAGCGGUGAAAUGCGUAGAGAUCCGGAGGAACACCGACGGCGAAGGCAGCGCCCUGGACGACACCUGACGCUCAGGCACGAAAGCUGGGGGAGCAAACAGG
rnacentral:rRNA from 1 species